UCUUGCUUUACGAUAGCUGUGACAAGGAAGUUAACUGUCUGCGGAGUUAUUUUGGAAAAGUCAGGCGAUGUUUUCAACCUGAAGGCAAACACAAAAACGAAAUGACCUUAAAUACGACAACUUGACGACUAUCACACGCGCCAGCUGGAGGAUAUGACAAUAAUCACGAUGCGAGAAAUAAUAACACAUUUUCAACAGUUUUCGUUCCCAGCGCUAGCUAGCUACGUAGCUACGCUAACUUAGCCAGAAGCUAGCUAGCUAGCUAGCGAAGCCAGUUUGUCAGCUUUCAUCCUGGGGAACAACAUGUUUUGAGUGCGAAGGGCUAGGGUUAGAUUCUUAAAAUCCCAUGUGACAUCCUAACAGAUAGGUUCCGUUUCUAGACGCUGAGUCAUAGCUGGGCUUCCGUCAUUUAAACACACACACACACACACACACACACACAAAAUGUGGCUUCAGCAACGACUAAAGGGGCUACCGGGUUUGUUAUCAAGCAGCUGGGCGAGAAGAGUGCUUAUAGGACUGCUGCUGUUCCUCAUCUUCUACUGGUACCUGGGAGCCGAGCGGAGAUGGAGGCUCUUCAGCGGCUCGGCCAUGCCCGGCGGGGCGGCCGGGCAGUGCCUUCUGGCGGAGAUCCACAGGUGGAAGUCUCUCGUGGAAAGAGGAGAGGGGAUAUACAGCACGCCUCUGGAGCAACUAGACACACCUUUUGUAUCAGGUAACGGCCAUAUCCUUAUUGACAUUGACUCUAACAAACUGUGGGUGGCGUCGUCUUCACAGCCCGGCUCGGCUCCGGUCCACCAGACGGAGUACUCCCCGAGAGUCGGCGUCCAUCUGGAGGGGAAGCGUGCCGAGGCUCAGGCCACCAUGCUGUGGUUCCGGAAAGGAGCCGUGCUGUCAGUCCGCUGCGCUUCACCCGCCGCUCUGCAGUCGGCCCGGGACUGCGUCACCAUCAGAGAGGAGUUUAUCGCGCACAGAAGCAGACCUAACGUCUAUCUCCAGCGAAUCCACAUCAACAACCCGUCUGACAAGGCUGCCUCCUUGGACGUUUCCUACAGCAACCCCUCCUUCGGGAGCAAGUUCUCCUCCAGCGUGGAGAAACUGGAGGACAGAGAGAUAGUGCUCUCCUCCGGCCGAGUGCCCGUGGAGAAUAAUCGCAUGGUUCUAGUGGUCGUGGUUGCCAAGAAGCUGAACAGCAGGAUCCAGGUUCCUGCUAAGUUAGAAUACAAAGACAACAUCCUGUCAGUGGUGCGGACAUCGGAGCCCAUCGAGCCCUCCAAGCUGGAGGAGACCUUCACCGCCCUCAGAGACGGAGCCAAAAAGGAGCUGGGCGAGCUGCUGAGGGCCAGCGUGGACGAGCUGGUUGUAGAUCACCAGCAGGCCUGGAUGGACCUCUUCAUUUCAGGCGUUGAAAUGCGGAAGAUCACGGACUCCCACACCCCGUCGAGCCGCACGGUGAACACCACCCUCUACUACAUCCUGUCCUCCUCCUGGGCUCCUCUGCUGGACCGGAGUCUCCCGGGUGAGGUGCGCGACCGCCUCGAGUCCAGCCUCAACUACGCCGACCACUGCUUCAGCGGCCACGCCACCAUGCACGCUGAGAACCUGUGGCCCGAGCGCGUGAGCAGCGCCGCCCAGAUCCUGCAGCUGGUCACGCUGUGGACCCUGACUCUGCAGAAGAGAGGCUGCAAGGUCCUGGUGGCGGCCGGCGCGCACGGCGCCGUGCAGGGCGUGGCGCUCAGCUUCGGCGGCCUCCAGUUCACUGAGAACCACCUGCAGUUCCAGGCCGACCCGGACGUGCUGCACAACAGCUACGCGCUGCGCGGCAUCCACUACAACCAGGACCUGAUCAACCUGGCCGUGCUGCUGGACGCCGUCGGGAAGCCCUUCCUCCACGUGUCGGUGAAGCCGCAGGAGAAGCCGGUGAAGCUGUACGCCUGCGAGGCGGGCUGCCUCAACGAGCCCGUGGAGCUGACGUCGGAGACCAAGGGCCACACCUUCCCCGUGAUGGUGACGCAGCCCAUCACGCCGCUGCUGUACAUCUCCACGGACCUGCGGCACCUGCAGGACCUGCGCCACACGCUGCAUCUCAAGGCCAUCCUGGCCCACGAGGAGCACAUGGCCAACCGGUACCCGGGCCUGCCCUUCCUCUUCUGGUUCAGCGUGGCCUCGCUCAUAACGCUCUUCCACCUUUUCCUCUUCAAGCUCAUAUACAACGAGUACUGUGGCCCCGGCGCCAAGCCCCUCUUCAGGAGCAAGGUCGCCCACAAAAGUGAGGACGGCUGCUGUGACCCCAGGAUUGCUGCUUGAACAUCACGUGUUGAAUUCAACAUGUGUGCGUUUUUGUGUGUGUGUGUGUGUGUGUUUGUGUGUGGGCGUGUGUGUAAAGGGUGUGUAAAGGGUGAGAUUGGCUAUGAGUCUUUGAGCGUGCUAAUCUGGGCAAAGAUCUUGAGCGCAGGGCCCAGUUUGAUGUUCAUGGUUCCCAUGAGAU